rnacentral:rRNA from 1 species
UACGUAGGGGGCAAGCGUUGUCCGGAAUCAUUGGGCGUAAAGAGCGCGUAGGCGGUCCGGUAAGUCGGUUGUGAAAAACUGGGGGGCUCAACCCUCAGAGGCCGACCGAUACUGUCGGGCUAGAGUCCGGAAGAGGCGAGUGGAAUUCCUGGUGUAGCGGUGAAAUGCGCAGAUAUCAGGAGGAACACCAAUGGCGAAGGCAGCUCGCUGGGACGGUACUGACGCUGAGGCGCGAAAGCGUGGGGAGCAAACAGG